rnacentral:rRNA from 1 species
UACAGAGGGUGCAAGCGUUGUUCGGAAUUAUUGGGCGUAAAGCGCGUGUAGGCGGCUUUGCAAGUCGGGUGUGAAAGCCCUCGGCUCAACCGAGGAAGUGCGCCCGAAACUGCAGAGCUUGAGUACCGGAGAGGAUGGCGGAAUUCCCCAAGUAGAGGUGAAAUUCGUAGAUAUGGGGAGGAACACCGGUGGCGAAGGCGGCCAUCUGGACGGAUACUGACGCUGAGACGCGAAAAGCGUGGGGAGCAAACAGG